ACGGGAUUUAGUAGACAGAAACCUCGGUGGAAGAUUACUAAUGAGAGUGGCGAACGGGUGAGUAACGCGUGAGCAACCUGCCUAUGACAGUGGGAUAGCCUCGGGAAACCGGGAUUAAUACCGCAUAAAAUCGUAGAAACACAUGUUUCAACGGUCAAAGAUUUAUCGGUCAUAGAUGGGCUCGCGUCUGAUUAGCUAGUUGGUGAGAUAACAGCCCACCAAGGCGACGAUCAGUAGCCGGUCUGAGAGGAUGAACGGCCACAUUGGAACUGAGACACGGUCCAAACUCCUACGGGAGGCAGCAGUGGGGAAUAUUGCACAAUGGGGGAAACCCUGAUGCAGCGACGCCGCGCGAACGAAGAAGGUAUUCGUAUCGUAAAGUUCUGUCCUAUGGGAAGAUAAUGACAGUACCAUAGAAGAAAGCUCCGGCUAAAUACGUGCCAGCAGCCGCGGUAAUACGUAUGGAGCGAGCGUUGUCCGGAAUUAUUGGGCGUAAAGGGUACGCAGGCGGUUUAAUAAGUCGAAUGUUAAAGAUCGGGGCUCAACCCCGUAAAGCAUUGGAAACUGAUAAACUUGAGUAGUGGAGAGGAAAGUGGAAUUCCUAGUGUAGUGGUGAAAUACGUAGAUAUUAGGAGGAAUA
rnacentral:rRNA from 2 species